rnacentral:rRNA from 1 species
UACAGAGGGUGCAAGCGUUGCUCGGAUUUACUGGGCGUAAAGCGUACGCAGACGGCCACGCAGGUCGGGUGUGAAAGCCCCGGGCUCAACCCGGGAAUUGCAUUCGAAACCAUGUGGCUCGAGUGUGGGAGAGGGUAGUGGAAUUCCUGGUGUAGAGGUGAAAUUCGUAGAUAUCAGGAGGAACAUCGGCGGCGAAGGCGGCUACCUGGUCCACAACUGACGUUCAGGUACGAAAGCGUGGGGAGCAAACAGGAUUAGAUACCCUGGUAGUCCACGCUGUAAACGAUGUGUGCUGGAUGUCGGGGGUAUUCACCCCCUCGGUAUCGAAGCCAACGCGCUAAGCACACCGCCUGGGGAGUACGGCCGCAAGGUUGAA